rnacentral:rRNA from 1 species
CUGGAAUCCUGAUAAUGUNAGGAUAAGGAUUAGGUAAAUUAUGAUUACUUUUCUAUUAGUGUCGUCCAAAGCUGUUAUGUGUUGUAGGAAAACACUAUUAUGGCUAAAACUAUCAAACUCCGGGGACAUCCUAAAGCUUAUGAUACCAAACUAUAGCCGAAAGGUUAUAAGUGGAUGAAGUAAUGACUCAUGUAAGGUANCCACGCAUAAGAUGAGCGAAAGCCAAAUGGGUUAUCGCGGAUCUAACUCAGAAAUUAUUUUUAGAAAACUANUUCCUGUAAAAGAGCANCGAAUACACGGUANUUGGAGCAUUAAA